UACGUAGGGGGCAAGCGUUGUCCGGUAUUAUUGGGCGUAAAGAGCGUGUCGGCGGUCCGGUAAGUCAGCUGUGAAAGUCAAGGGCUCAACCCUUGAAUGCCGGUUGAUACUGUCGGGCUAGAGUCCGGAAGAGGCGAGUGGAAUUCCCGGUGUAGCGGUGAAAUGCGCAGAUAUCGGGAGGAACACCAAUGGCGAAGGCAGCUCUCUGGGACGGUACUGACGCUGAGACGCGAAAGCGUGGGGAGCGAACAGG
rnacentral:rRNA from 1 species